rnacentral:rRNA from 1 species
UACAGAGGUGGCAAGCGUUGUUCGGAAUCAUUGGGCGUAAAGGGCGCGUAGGUGGCCCGGUCAGUUCGUGGUGAAAGCGCGGGCUCAACCCUGCGUCGGCCAUGAAUACUGCCGCGGCUGGAGCACUGUAGAGGCAGGCGGAUUCCGGGUGUAGCGGUGGAAAUGCGUAGAGAUCCGGAAGAACACCGGUGGCGAAGGCGGCCUGCUGGGCAGUGCUGACACUGAGGCGCGACAGCGGUGGGGAGCAAACAGG